GCAGCAGGCGCGAAACCUUUACACUGCACGACAGUGCGAUAAGGGAACUCCGAGUGCGAGGGCAUAGAGCCCUCGCUUUUGUACACCGUAAGGUGGUGCACGAAUAAGGGCUGGGCAAGACCGGUGCCAGCCGCCGCGGUAAUACCGGCAGCCCAAGUGAUGGCCGAUAUUAUUGGGCCUAAAGCGUCCGUAGCUGGCCGGACAAGUCCGUUGGGAAAUCCGCGCGCUCAACGCGCGGGCGUCCAGCGGAAACUGUCCGGCUUGGGGCCGGAAGACCUGAGGGGUACGUCCGGGGUAGGAGUGAAAUCCUGUAAUCUCGGACGGACCGCCUGUGGCGAAAGCGCCUCAGGAAGACGGACCCGACAGUGAGGGACGAAAGCCAGGGUCUCGAACCGGAUUAGAUACCCGGGUAGUCCUGGCUGUAAACGAUGUCCGCUAGGUGUGACGCAGGCUACGGGCCUGCGCUGUGCCGUAGGGAAGCCGUGAAGCGGACCGCCUGGGAAGUACGUCUGCAAGGAUGAAACUUAAAGGAAUUGGCGGGGGAGCGCUACAACC
rnacentral:rRNA from 1 species